rnacentral:pre_miRNA from 1 species
UACGACCCAUUGGUGCAGCGAGUACGGGUCGGGUAUUGAACCUACUUUGACCUGAUCCAAACUCGCUGCACCAACGGGUCG